GUUGCAACUUUGUCACAAAUCCUGAACCUCAAAAAUCAUGAGUUGGAUCAAGUUGCAGACUUCUUAGGACAUGACAUUCGUGUCCACAGAGAAUAUUACAGGCUUCCAGAGGCUACAACGCAGCUGGCCAAAAUAUCAAAAUUACUUCUUGCCUUGGAGAAAGGGUCCCUGACAAAUCUUCAAGGCAAAUCACUUGAAGAGAUUGACAUUGAAGGUAUUGCUAUUAAAAGUUGUUUUCAGCUGUGUAGAUCUGUGUAGAUCAUAAAGUUUGGUUUACAAGAAUUGCUAACAGAUAUUUUUACUGUAGCAAAAAUAUGACCUAACCUCUAGAAUGUUAUGCUUUCCACACAGCCUGCCUGCCAUUUGUCCCUCACACAACCCCACUUAAAAAACAUCUGUCCCUUUUACCUCAACAAGCUAAUCUUCAUUGUAAUAUUAUUCAUAAUGUUUUAUCGCUGUAACUCAAUGUUUGCUGUUUAAUUCUCUCAUGUUUUAUUAUUUAUUUUCUUCAUUUUUUGUCAGAUGACAUGAACCUGAGUGAUUCUGAGCAAAGCGAAGACAGUGAGUUUGAUGAACAGCAGCCCCUCAUACAUUCACAUACAAGUGUUGGAAUGAAAAGAGCCAGCCAAUAUGAGCAGGAAUGUCCAGGAACCUCAGGGAUGAAGAGAGACAGGCAGCCUGUUGAGGAACCUCCAGGCACCUCAGAUGGUAU
rnacentral:lncRNA from 1 species